CUACGGGAGGCAGCAGUGGGGAAUCUUAGACAAUGGGGGCAACCCUGAUCUAGCCAUGCCGCGUGAGUGAUGAAGGCCUUAGGGUCGUAAAGCUCUUUCGCCUGUGAUGAUAAUGACAGUAGCAGGUAAAGAAACCCCGGCUAACUCCGUGCCAGCAGCCGCGGUAAUACGGAGGGGGUUAGCGUUGUUCGGAAUUACUGGGCGUAAAGCGCGCGUAGGCGGAUUAGAAAGUUGGGGGUGAAAUCCCGGGGCUCAACCUCGGAACUGCCUCCAAAACUGCUAGUCUAGAGUUCGAGAGAGGUGAGUGGAAUUCCGAGUGUAGAGGUGAAAUUCGUAGAUAUUCGGAGGAACACCAGUGGCGAAGGCGGCUCACUGGCUCGAUACUGACGCUGAGGUGCGAAAGUGUGGGGAGCAAACAGGAUUAGAUACCCUGGUAGUCCACACCGUAAACGAUGAAUGCCAGUCGUCGGGUAGUAUACUAUUCGGUGACACACCUAACGGAUUAAGCAUUCCGCCUGGGGAGUACGGUCGCAAGAUUAAAACUCAAAGGAAUUGACGG
rnacentral:rRNA from 1 species